AAAUCCUGGCCUCAAAUGAUCCCCCUGCCUCGGCCUCCAAAGUGUUGGAAUUACAGGCGUGAGCCACUGUGCCCAGCUUGUGUUACCACCUAGAUCUUUCUUUAGCGCUUCUGCUGGCACUGUGCUAUCUAUCUUCCAACUCUUCAACUUAAUGCAGGUCAAGAACAAAUCUGUGGCAAUCCUGGAUUGUCGUGGUCAUGGCAGGAAAGUAUGGAGACAAAAAGGAGCAAUGCUAUUCUGUCAGAGGAUAAGGAAGCCUGUGAUGGCCAGGAUCUAGAUAGUUCAUACCCGUAUCCCUCAUUUUCAAGUUGCAGUGACAAUGUGAGAGAAGACCUGCAUCAACAGAGAAAAAGCAGAGAGCCCUCACUGUUGGCAGAUUAGUUUCCAAAUACCCGCAUGGCAAGUGGAGAACAUGGCAAAGAUGCUCAAACCAUUAUUCCUUAGACAUCCAUGAGAGAACACUCACCAAAGCUCAAGAAGCAGUGACUAUUGAGGAUGAUUAAAGAGGUAAGAGAAACCAGGAAUUGUUACUAGGAGCAUCUGAUAUAUCUAAAUGAAAUAAAUGGCACCCAGCUCUUCUAGCACAAACCCUACCUCUUGGGGAAGUCCAGCAGUCUCUUCCUCCUGAUAACAUUUUUCCAUUUGUUCUAGGUCAUAGGCCCUACAUAGCUAUAAGAGAGGGAGACCAGGAGACUGAAUGUACCUGGCAAUAGCUAUCUUCCAUAGGAAUGGCUCAUUAAGAAUACCAUUUCAUGUCACAUGGGUAUUGGAAUACCAUGAGUGGCAAGGGUUCCGCUUAGCUAGGCUCUGUUUCAAGGACUUUCAUGACCUUAUGUGAUCCAGUAUGUGCAUUCUCCAAUGGCAAUCACUGCCCACUAUCCUCAUCAUCCAGCCUCAAUUGAGAUGAGGCAUAAAGUAAGUACUAUGGACCCUUCUAGCAGAAAAAACGCAAGAGGAAAUCACACGUGAGGCUUUUAUGUCUUUACUCUGGGCUGAGCUGGGUCAGACCUAAAGAUGGAGAGGAAAAGUGAAACUGUCAGGUCUAAAGACUGUAUUUCUUCUUCUUCUUUUUUUUUUUUUUUAAUAGGAAUAACAUUAAGAAAAACAAAUUGAUCUGACGAGAAAACAAAACUCUCUUAAGGAAGAGUUUACUAUAGUAGGGACCCAUUCCCUAGGGGAAGGGAAGGGAAGCGUCUGCUGAAAAGGAUUUUCUUCCCUGGGCUAGAAUCACAUCCUUGAGGCCUUCCUACAUGUUCCAAGGAGGCCAAAUCUCGUGUGGUCCUAAACUAUUCCUCAUUCCACUCCUAAUCUCAACAGCCAUCCUGGGAUAGGAACACUAGCCUCUGGAGAGCAGUGAGGCCUAUCAAACCUACACCAGUCAGCCCGUAUGACAUAAUUACAGGUAAUAUAGGAUCUUGGCCAAACCAAUGAAAAAUUAGGCACAGUACCUAUUUCAGAAGAAUGGAUGCAAUUCUAUGCUUGACUGGCUAUGAAAGUUCUAAGGAGAGGAAUAGGGAAACAGCCAAGCUGAGCCAGCAGCUUUGCAGAGAGGAAUCCCACUGGAGCCAGCACAGCAUUGGCACCUAUCAGCACAUGCUGCUGAGCUUGCUUGGGGAAGGCCACCAGUGACUGGAGACUCGGCUCCUUCCAGACGUUAAAAGCUGAUAGGGGAAGCCCAGCAGUCAGGGGAAGAAAGGCAAUGGGGCAGCAUCCCCCAUGAUACAUUUCUACCUCAACUCUUCUCCUUGUGAUGCCACUUUCAUUUAGGGGCUGGAAUGGGAUUUGAGGGCCUGCCCUCUAGGGCUUUUGGAAGUACUUCGCAAAGGGCCAGGAGCCCAGAAGUGAAGGGGCUGUAAUAGACAGAUAACAACCUGGUAUUCAGGAAGAGCUUAUAGCCCAUCUCCAAACAGGAAUUUGUUGACCUGAAAUUCCAAAUUAACUCCUCGCUCAUUUAGCAGUCUAAUCCACAAAACAGAAACAUACCAGAGAGGGACAGAUUUGCAGACUAUGUUUGGAGAGUGAAGGGACAUGAAUGGUUUCUAUUUGAACACUAAACAUUUUUCAAAACACUCAUCAUUAUCUCAUUACCUUUAACUAUACUGGCUGGACAGACAGGGAGACCCAGGCAGGUGAGGGUCCUAUAGUAAGUGCACAGUCAGGUUUUGGCUAUGGACUUUUUCAAUAAGAAGUUGAUGAAUUAGCAGCCAUGUGUCCAGCCUCAAUACUUCAACAGUUUUCCUCCCACCCUGACAAAUGCCGAGCUUGGAGAGCUUUCCUAAAGAACCAUAAAGGACAACAAAAUAACAGGCCUUCUUCCCAUUCUCUAGAAUUAGGUCACAGGGAAUCAAUUAGUUGAUUUGACAAAUAUUUAUUUGUUGAGUAUCUCUUAUAUACUAGGCACUGGAGUACGAAGACAAAACAUGGUUCCUGUCUGUGAGGAGCUUACAAGCUAGUGGGGAGAGACUUGGGUCAUAGGUCCCUUGUAUACUAUUGGUAAGUACACAACAGAUGUAUGCACAGGGUGCUGUGGGAACUGAUGGAAGGAUGUCUCAUCUAGCCUGGGAGAGCAAGGGAAGGCUUCCAAGAAAAGGUGAUGCACCUUCCAGAACAGGCGUGAACAGGUGUGAAAGCAAGCAAGGGGGAUGACUGAUGUGCUGGGCCGAGAGUGUAAGUCUACCUGAGAGAUGGGAGAGACAAAAUGUUAUGGUAUGUAUAGCGAACUGCCAGUGUAACAGGUCUAUUCUGAUAAGGCACAAAUUAUGAAGUGAGUGGGGGUGGUGAGACAUAAAGUUGGAGAGGUUAUCAAGAAUAUAUGUAAACUGAGAUGAGACUUUAUCCCAGAGGCAAUGGGAAGUUAUAUAUAUAUAUAUUUUUAAACAAACGCACCUACACAGUCAGAUCUGUCUUUUAAGAAAGAUUAGAUACAGGAAUAUAGACAUACAUGAGCAAAUGGGAAAAGUAAGGCCCACAAAAAUCAAACAGCAGAUGAAGCAGGAAUCAGACAAUCAAUAGACAAAGGAGCUGUGGCAAGAGCAGAGUAAAUAUUUAGGGGAGGCAUGGGCAUAGCCAAUCCUUCAAAUUCCUCUGCAGUCUUGGAAGCAUCCAGGAUCAGAAUCCAUGCCGUAUAGAAGACUGACUCUUAGUCAAUGUGGGACUUUCAGGGAAGUCCUCUACUAUUCCUUUAACUAGUUCCAGGUAUUCUAUGGUUGAAAAAUGGUAAAAUAUGGCUAAAAUAAUUAUUGCCUUCUAAAAGCAAAACUGGUAAGAUUUGAAGAGAAAAAGCAUUUGAUUUGGAAUGCAGAUAUUUGAGUUUUAGUAUACGUCUUACCAUUAGCUCUGUGAACAGAGGCAAGUUACUGUGCAUUUUGGUUUCUUGAACUGUAAAACAGGGUUAAUAUUUUUCUUAUAGGUUUGCUGUGAGAUUAAAAUGAACUAUUAUGCAUGAAAACACUUUUAAAAUGAGAAAAUGCUAUAUAAAAUUAAGGUUUGAUCACUAUUAAGACAGGAGUUUUUCUUACCUGAGCCUUCUUCAAAGAAAAUAGCCCUUAACUAAGAAUAAACUGCUUGAAAUUAAAGAC